AAUUUGGUCCCAAUCAUGGGCUGGUUUUGUAAAAGCGAAUUGUUGAUUUCUUGUCCUGAAUGUUUGUUUCAUAGUUUGUUUUUUUUGUCUGUCUGACUGUAAUUUUAGCUGCUGUUAUGAUGCAACCUUGUGCAAGGGAAUAAAUUAAUGAAUAAAUAAUAAAUUAAUAAAGUAACAAACCAUCAAUGAUUUAUUCAAACAAAAUUUAACUUCCCCCAAACAAAUUUUGCAUUAUAUGCCAUUCAACAUCUUCAGUGUUUUAUUUUACCAGUAUUUAUCUGGUAUAAAGUCCUGUAUUUUUUUAUAUUGUAGUGUUGGACAAAGACUGCGGAAAUUGCUAAACUCCAUUUUCCUGGUUGUACUCUAAUGUAAGUACAGGGAUAUGAUUCACACGUAGCAGACGGCUGACAGCUCCAACCUGUUGCUGUGAACAGGAACAGUCUUAUUAUAGAGCCUCACAUGGUCGUUAUUGAUGCAGAAAUUAGCCCGAGAAACCGUAACAUUGGCAUCAGCCAGGCUUUGACGUACUUAAACACGGCUGUGAAGUCAGAAAUCACAACAUCAGGAUAAAUGAGUCUCUUAACUUUGGACCAAUCAGGACCUGCAGGUUUGGACUCUUCCAUGUUGGCAUGUUGUGAUUUAUUUGUAACAAGCAGCUUCAAUAAUAACCUUUCAUUUUUAGAUGUACAAAAUUCCAGUUUUAGUCCCAAACCUAUAUAAUUACUAAACUUUAUUUUUUUUAUCACCUGACACAAAAUUCUACUUUCAACUUUAUUUUUAUGGCACUUUUCAGACAAAAGAUGUAUUUCAAAGUGCCUCACAGAGGGUAAAAAACAACAAUUAGCAAGAAUAAAACCCAACCCUCCCACCCACACACCCACUGAUGGACCCACACACACAAAGACAUGCACCCAUCCUCACUCACCCACACAUACACACACACAAGCACGCACAGUGUGAGAAUUUGAGAAAUAUUGUUAAAGAGACAUUAUGUCAGUAAAGAGCUACCUUUGGGAAACACUAGAAAGAAAACUAAAAAGCGUAAAAAGAAAGAGUAAAACCUGAUGGACUAAAACAAGAAAAUAAUAUUAAAUGAACAGAUAAGUAAGAGCUCUUUAUCAUGUAAAUAAAUAAAAAGACUAAGAACAGAGAUCAUUACUAAAAUGACAAAGUGUCUGAUUCUGUGGUGCAGCAGCAGGAAAACCAGAUCCCUGUAAGCAUCAGAGCUACAAGUCAAAGUGAUUGGAUCUGGCAUGCCAGCAUCUGGUUAAUGUGGACCAUGUGCCACCUGUGCAGUGCCAACAUAUGUAUCUUGGCAGUGUCUGAGCAAAUUAAAAGUUACAGGUCUUCAGAGGAGCCUCGGGGGAUUCCUAGUUUAUAAAGUCCUCCUGGGUAAUCAGGGGCACAUGACUGAGAGACUGUCAGCUCUGCUUAAAAGUAUUUCAUAUUUUGGCCGUCCUUUGUAAUGCAUAAAUUCAAAACCACUUUGACCAAACUAACAAUCAGACUGAAGUGUUAUUUUGUUUUGCUGCCUGACAUUGUGUUUUGUUUUUUUCGCCCUUCUCAAAUUAAUAGUUAGAGACGUGAUGACAUGAAGGCCUGUCCUCACCAAAAAACACGACUGUUUAUGUCAACUGUGCAACAGCUUGGUAAGAGCUGUUCAUAAGAGAUGCACUUAUUUAAAAAAAAAUCCAAUACUUAUAUCAAUAAUUGAAAUUGCAAUUUCUGUGCUGAUGAUUUUUGAGUCGUAAUUCUUUGUUUUUAAAGUGAGUUUUUUUGAGAGAUAUUUUAAUAGCUGCUUGUACCCUCUCCUCCUAAAGGGUCACUAAAUUAAAAACCCUUUAUUCUGGAUCAGCAGCGAGGUAAACAGAUGCGACAGAUGAAACAGUGGUUUCGUUUUAAGAGAUGAUGAAGUUGUCACUGAAUAAAAAAUUCGAAAAUCGAGUUUUCAGAUAAAAAAAAUGGGAUUUUAUUUUUGGCCAAAACUAUGCAGCCCUAUUAUAAGGUGAUGGCCUCUUGGGCUGUGGUAAUUCACAUGAGAUGUAGUGUAGAGCAAGAAGGGGAUCAGGGUGACGACUCAGCUAGAUGACCAGGACUUGCAUCAUGCAUGAAUCAAAGUAUAAUAUUUAGUUUUUACGAACAUACGUAAUAAACAUUUAUUUCGUAAUUAAAGUUGUUUAAAUACUUUUAACGAAGUUUUUUGGAGUUUACCAAACCAAGACUUUUAUUCUUGACAUAACUAAGUACUUGUGGUUCCCAGACCCACCGAACCGUGCGUUUAAGAUUAACUAACUCUAUUUCUCACACUGGCAGCUUUUAUUUUCCCUAUAAACUAGAUGCAGUAAUUCAGCAGUCAGUAUUCUUAGUGCAAGAAUAAAUACUCUCGGCAUCGGCCAAUUUGGUUGCUUUGCCCCUGUUGCUCUCAAUUCAUAUUGUUUGCUUGUCAAUCUCAUUUCCUAAUAACUGACCAAUCACAACCAAAGAGAGGCGGGACUUUAGAUAUCAACUUUGUCUACAACAAUGUGAUGCAAUUUCCAGCUUAAGAGAUACCGCUAAUGCUGUUUUGCUCUUAACUGUUCGUAUGUUGUCUUAGCCGACAAAGCCUCUAAAAUUUGGGGCCUAUAAUCUGCACGAACACAGAGUUUGUGAUCAUAAAAACACCCAUGAAGUUGGUUGAUCAUUCACUCUUGUUGAAGGAAAAGAGGACAAAUCGUGAUGCAGUUUUCCUUUUGACAAAAGCAGAGUACUGGAGCUUUUUUUUCCCCCCAAAGAGACGAGCGGAACCGUACCACUUUGUAGGUUUCUCAAUUCAUCUCAGCAGUAAUUUCUAACAAAAUAAAACGUUCCCAGGUGUCGUAUUCCAACAGGCCACCCGCGAGACAGAGUUCUCUUUUCAAACCUUCGAGGUAUGCAGAAGUAAAGAACGCCUCGUUCUUUGAAACGCCUGAUAGAAUAAGACACGGAGUAGAAAAAAGCCUGUUUGAGAGGCACUGCUUGAACAGAAGCACACUGCUUGAAGGAGGGAGUGGAGGGAUGUCUUACAGCACAGACUUGUGUUGCACAGGCUGUCUGCACCUCAUCCUCCUGGAUGAUCUGAGCUGUAAUGACUUUGGACUCUGCAUGGAGUUAUAGCACUGAAUAAUGAGGUGAGCAAUGGAGUCAGGGUGCAGGGGAAGUGUUGACAUUUCAUGUCAGUGGGUUCAGAAACACCAAAGACAUCACUUAGAGCUUCGUGACACUUGAUGUGUCAGAGGUUUUGUGUUUACACAGACGUGCUGUGGCUGCUUCCGCACUUUAGACUCAGUCAGGUUGAAAUUUUGUGUUUCCACUCUGUAUGAAAAACAAGUGAUUUUACGGAUACAAAGACUGCGACGCACAACAGUUUUAGAGGUCUUUGACUUAUUCAAAGUCUGAACACACAAUGUUUCUGUCUGUUACAAUGGCCACUAUGUUAGAGUGGACAGCAACACACAUAAAUUCAUGCUGUUGCUUGAGUGACAGACUUGACAGGCCACUUGCUGGUACCCGCCCAGUCAUCACAUCAGACUUCAUUUCAUAGAUGUAAGAGGAGCUGGGCGAGACUCGAGACAAAUGAUGUUGUCCAAGUUGGUGUGAAAGAUUCUUGUGUUGAGUUAGCCAAGCAGACCUAACUGCACCUGAGAUGGUAUGCGAUUACUUAACGCUGAUGGCAGCCACUAAUAUUUCUCUAUAUUUCUCUGAAUUGAUAAUUAACAAAGAUGUAAUAAUUUUGUGACUUUACUCGGUGGAGCUUCACUGUCAAAUUAUCACAAAUCAGCAUCAAUUCAUUCUAGACAUUAAAAGUAUUAAAUUAUAUAUAAUUAAAUUAUAAUAUUAAAUUAAUGAAAAGUAAGUCAUGUAAAAUUCAGACUGUUAAAUAUAUAUACUAUUCAUUACUUGAUGAUGUGGUUAUCAUUAAUUCAUGACUGAAUCAUACAUGUACUCAUGAUGAUAUAAACAUUAAGAAUUAAAACAUGCUUAUAAGGUAAAACUGUAGAGUUAGAUGUAAUAGAAAAAAUGAUUAAUGAUCGUAAUAACAUUUUUUCCCAUAUUGCUCAGCCCUACUGUACAUGACGGACACAAAAAUCCUAAAUCCUUGACUUUCUGUUCGGAUGUUGUUCGUUAGAUCUACUAUGGUUUAUUAUUUGGGAUGAAAUGAUCAGUUUUGGGAUUAGACUGGUCCCGAAAUCCCGGAUUGGGACCUGUUGCCAGAUUGGGUUUGUAUAAUAUUUACUCUGUGAUGCCUGAGUUUGGCAUUAAGAUUUGUGUCAUCGUGAAUUUGUUUCCCAGUCUAUUUCGACUUCGACUUACUGCUGUUUUUGUUGGAUGAAUAAUUAAACGCUUCAUCAAUAAAUCUGGAUAUUUUUAUUGAGGAAUAACAUUUAUUUGAUGACUCCAGCACUAUUUCAAUAUAAAUAAAACAUACCGUAGUAAUAAUGAAUUACCCAUGCUCUAAG
rnacentral:lncRNA from 1 species